rnacentral:SRP_RNA from 14 species
UUCGUGAAGCUCGGCGAGGGCGAGGAGUACUGGCCGCAGGGCUGCCUCACGCACAGCCCCGGCUACGUCAGGUCGGGGUGGGAGCAGCCGAAGGAGGAGGCCCGCAGCGGGCACUGGCGCAUCUUCGCCGCG